rnacentral:snRNA from 1 species
AGUCUCCCUCCGCAGCACUUACGCUAUAAUUGGGAAAGAUACCUACCUGAAAACUAGCACAUCCCCUGCACAAAUGAUGAGAUGCAAAUCCGUGAAGUGUUCCAUACUUUA